GAUGAACGCUGACAGAAUGCUUAACACAUGCAAGUCAACUUGAAUUUUGGUUUUUAACUUAGGUUUGGGUGGCGGACGGGUGAGUAACGCGUAAAGAACUUGCCUCACAGCUAGGGACAACAUUUGGAAACGAAUGCUAAUACCUAAUAUUAUGAUAAUAGGGCAUCCUAUAAUUAUGAAAGCUAUAAGCGCUGUGAGAGAGCUUUGCGUCCCAUUAGCUAGUUGGAGAGGUAACGGCUCACCAAGGCGAUGAUGGGUAGCCGGCCUGAGAGGGUGAUCGGCCACAAGGGGACUGAGACACGGCCCUUACUCCUACGGGAGGCAACAGUGGGGAAUAUUGGACAAUGGACCGAGAGUCUGAUACAGCAAUUCUGUGUGCACGAUGAAGUUUUUCGGAAUGUAAAGUGCUUUCAGUUGGGAAGAAACAAAUGACGGUACCAACAGAAGAAGUGACGGCUAAAUACGUG
rnacentral:rRNA from 1 species